rnacentral:lncRNA from 1 species
CCUCAAUCCCAGUAUCACGCACCCAUGAUUCCACCACCUCCUAAAAGCCCCACCUAUGAGGCUUUGGGGGAACAUUGAGAUAUAAACCAGAGCAACCGCCCUAUCCUUGUGAUUGGCUUUCUCCCAAGCAGGCAGCUCUGAUGACUUGGGGAACUGAAGUGGCUGCCUUGAAAUCUUUGCCUUUUUCCCCACCCUCAUGAAGCAACCCACCAAAGAACAGAGGAGGGCUGAGAUUCCUAAUCUAAAGUUAAUCCCCAAGCUUUCUAAGUCCCAGAUCCUUUUCUCUCCCAGUGCAAGAAAAAUACAGGAAUUGCUGCUCCUGACAGCACAAGAAUGGAGGAGCAGUAACAUGCUCAUCUGAGGAGUAUGAAAGAUGCUCCCAGAGGCCACCUCUUCUGUUCUGGAAUCACUAACGCGUUGUGUACACUGGACUUGGAAUACUCUGCAUUGACACUGACGAUGUCACAAUACGUCUUCAUUGGAUUAGUCAGGACACCCUCCCGAUCAAAGGGAAAUGGGAGCACACAGAACAUGGACCUCCACAGAUCAAUGCGUUGGCGCUUACCCAGCACAUAUGCGAACUGUGCCCUUACUUCAUCAGAGGCAACCAAGCAGCGCUCACUACGCAUAGCAAGAGACGUCGACGAGCUGCGUGCCAACAGCUGA